UCCUCCAUUUGCAUUGAGCAUUUUGACUGCAUCAAGUGCGUCUGACAACUUAAAGAUUUACACGGCAAUCAGCAUGAAAUAAAUUACUCCAGUGCUAAGAUGGGAUUGAAAGGGCAUGCGCUGCAUAAAAACAUAUGCCAGAGUAUUUGGCGGUUCUUUCCACUUACUGUGGCGAUCCCUGGUCUAAUCUGAAGGAAAGUGACCUGUAACUGUGAACUAAUUUUAAGUUAUUUUUGUGAAAUGCUACUUUUCUGGAAUUGCAGAACAACCACCUCAUAUACUGUAAGUGUUAAAAUGUAUUUGUGUUAUAUGGGAUUUUUUUUUUUUUGCAAAAUUAGCAUGUUUCCAUUGGAUGUAUUCUAAAUUUUCUGUUUCAUGUUACACAGUUUAAAGGGUAAUCGAAAAGUAUUUGAUCUCUUGUGAUUUCUCUCUCCUCUGUGCUAUUAUAUAUCCUUAACACACUUCACAUUCCCACAUAUUAAACUAUUUUAUUAAAAAUGUAAUAAACAUGUAUUAAAUGCUUCUAAUGCACACAAUGUCUCAAAAUCCUGUCUGUAAGCAGCUCACUUGUUUUUGAGCACAUAUGCGAAAAGUAAUGACACAUGUGCACAUCUCUUUCACAUACCAACAAAUUAAAUAUUAAACAUACAUUCAUCAGAAGAGCAGGUCUUUCUUGGCAAGAGAGUAAUCAAAAUUGCACCAAGCAGUAGAUGUUAGUCUGCCGAGGUUAUUGACUGCCUCACGAGGUGUGUAGAAAUGAUGAAAUGGUUCAAUGUAUGUAGCAUUUCA